rnacentral:lncRNA from 10 species
CUGCAGGGAGGACCUCACUUGGCCAAGUUCUCCAUAUGCCUUCAGAUGGAGACUGAGGGCAGAGGAGAGUGCAGCUUAUCCAAGAUCUCAAGGCUAGUAAUUGGUGAGAAAAUUCUGCACAGAACCAUUCCCAGUGGUGAGACUGUUUUUGUCCUUCAGCCCGGGAAAGGCAGACCUGGCUCCCUCCUUUUAUUUGCAAGCCUCAAAACCAUCAAGACAGGGUUAAAGAUGCCCCACUCCAAAAAUGGUUGCAAGCUCAACACGGCUCCUUUCCAGACACUCGAAGGGCGCGGACCUUCGCUGAGACGCCACCCACGCAAGUGGAGGAAGCACUUGCGCCACUGCUGAGCGGUUGGAAGGGGAACACUGCAGCGAUGACCCACGAGUGUCAACGAGACCAGGUGCCCAUUAGGGAAACAGAGAUGGAGAAGAAAUCACGCGCCAAGGUCUGAAAUUCGGCGUGGCUCUCACUCGACAUCUCCCCAUUCUCGCCACCCGUGCACCCGCCUGCAGCGGCGCACCGGGCUCGGUGCUGCACCUGCCUCCUGGCGCCUGCGCCACUGCCCCCGCGCGGGUCCCACCGCGCAGGACGCCCCUUCCUGCUUCCGACGUCUGCUGUGGAUCACACGCGGUCGCUGCCAAAGCCUCCAUUUCGGUUCUGACCCAGUGACUUUGGGGACGCCCAGGGAGGAGAUGUGGAGAGGAUGUGGCCAAGGUGAACCAGCCAGUGUAAGUGCUAAUGCUUCUGGCUUCUCGGUAACACCUACCCUGCCCCACCACCCAAAUCGGGCCUUGAUCAAAAAAGAAGCGUCUUGACAAUACAUUUUUAGACAUAAAUAAGUUGAAGGUGCCCACGGAGGGAGGUUGAAAACAUUUGAUUAUCAGGACAGAGUAGAAGCCUGUUUGGCUCAUCCUUUUGGCCAGCUCUAAAGCAGCAGUGGACACUUCUUUGCGAUUUUGCAAGGAUGUUUGUGAAUGUACUUUGUAACUCCUAGAAAAUAGGCAAAAAACCGUGAGUGGAUGUAGUCGCACCGCUGGCACCUGUAAGAACGCGCCCUAAAGCUGUGGAACUGCUAUUCAGGUUCCAGGCACACGUCUCAAGCCUCAAACCUCCAAGAGUUGCCUUAGCUGCUCAUUUUACUGGUAAGAAGACGGAGGUCAAGCCUGAAGAUAGUGGCUCUGCUGUUUUCUUAGGCUGCUUGAAGCUUUAGAUAAGCAGGAAAAUUCCAUCAAAGAAAUCCCUGUAUGUAAAUUGGGAGAAAAAGAUAUGAUGAAUAUUAAUGCAGAGGCCUCUGAACAAAUGGAACCUCCAUUUUCACAUCCAGCACAGGAUCAUUUGCAGCCAGACAACCUGAGAGUCAACCCCAACUCUACCUUUUACUAAUUGCAUGAUAUUGGGCCUCAGUUUGCUCAUCUGUAAAUUGGGUGCAGUGAUAGAAUCUAUCCCACAGGGUUUUGCUGAGCAUUAAAUGAGUUUAAACUUGUAGAUGGCUUAGAAUAAUGCCUGGCAUGUAGCAAGUACGCAGUUACUGGCGCCUGGUGUAUAUAGUAAGUACUCGAUAUACAUUAACUAUUUUUCAAAGACACCACAGCUCACCUGGGAAGGAAUCUCAGGUAUUUGCCUGAGAUUCAAGCAAACAAAUAUGGAAGCUACCAAAGGCUCAUGAAGCCUGAAGGAUCCUUGCAGAGAGAUGUUCUAAAUGUUGCCUAGAAAGGCAGUUUGGAGGGAGGCCUCUCCAGUCAGAGGUCUGGAUGCUAAGUUUAGCUCUGCCACAUAUUAGCCAGGUAAUUUUGAAGUAAUAAACAAUCUCUUUGUGCCUCCAUUUCUUCUUGUGUAAAAUGAGGGGCUGUUGUGAAGAUUAAAUAAAUACAUGUAAAGCAUUUAAAGCCAGACCUGGCAGAAA